CUCAGGCACUCCACUAAACCAGCCCCAGCGUACCUGAGCCCUUCCCGCGUAGAAGAGUCCACCACCGCUUUUAAAAGGGGGCUUCCUGGCCAAAUUUCCUAGGAUGUGGCGCUUUUGUCUUUGUUGUGGCGGUUGGGUUUUUUUGGGCUUCCCAGGGAGGCAUCUGGCUGGCCACUGUGAGAACAGGAUGCUGGACUAGUUCCAGGCUCACCACUGUAUUGGAGCUAGAUGGUUGUCAGUGGCCAUGUGGCGGACCCAAGUCCCAGAUCUGUCUUCUCACUGGUAUUAACAAAUGGAAUCUAUGCAACUGAGGCUGUUAUGCAACUGGCUCUAUGUUACAAGAACCCAACAAAUACCACCUGGCAGCAAAUAGCAGCCAAUCAAAGACAGGGUUGUGAUAUAGUAGCUGAAAAUUUGGAAGUGGGGUUCUAUUAACAGGGAGACCAAUCCAAUAUGUCAUCUCAUCUCUUGAUUGAACCACAUAAAGAACUGAAAAUACCUCUGACAUUGAGCAAGUCCCCAAUUGCUUAAAAAUCACAAUACAGAAUGCCUCAGAGGCCCUGCUUGGGGUGUCUUCAUCCCAGACUGAGGCUGGUGAGCACAAGAGGAGAUGAAUCGCUUUAUCCUGCUGCUCUGAACCACUGCAGCUUCAGCUUGGCCUGGAAAGUCCACAGAUUCAGCAAGGUCCUUAAUCAAGGGAUUAAAGACCAACUAAAUAAUAGCUUCCCUAGCAGCCACACCCAGGACCAACUUUUCUGCUCCACACUUGCUAUCUUCUUCAAACAGGGUUUUUCUGCUAUGAAACCCCACCCACCAGACUGAACCAACUAAAACAAGAUUGUGGGGGUUACACUAGCAGAUGGCAACGCUUCUGUGUGAGGUUGUCUGCAUUUCUAGUUAAAAGCUAAAGAUUGCGUUUCAGCUGGCUGGAGAACUUGUGUUACAACACUGUGUGUUUUAUAAUUUGAUCCAGUGCAGUCAGAAGCACGCACCACUGAGUUCAAUGGAGUUUACUUGCAGGAAUCUGUGUUUAGGAUUGCAAUCACACUGGCUGCUGCUGCUAAUAAACUGGGCACUGUGCUAUGUACUACUGUUCUGUGUGUAUACACACACACACAGAGCUGCCUGGUCUUUUUGGAUUCCCCAAUGUGGCCUGGCUAGAGGAGCUGUGAAGGUGAGCUCCUGUACUUCAGAAGUUGCCAUUACACCACUGAAGGAGGCAAGCAGCAGGCCUACUGGUUUAUUUCCUUCAUCUGGGAACCAAAGUGGGAAGAGGGAAUCAUCUUCAGAGGUCACAUACCUUCAGAUAUAUCCUUAGAACCCAAUCUCCCCCAUUGUUAUAGGAUUAUGCUCCCUUUAUUCACAUGCCCCUUUUUGUGAAAAGGCUAAGAACAGACUCCCUCCCCCAGUAUUAAAUGUACAUGGCUGCCCUGCCCAUCACAUCAAGUUUGGCCCUGAGUAACGGGGAACAUCGAAUGCAACAGAAGCAGAGCCCAGAGAGCAGCAAGCAUUUGUAGGUGGCUCUGAACAGCUCCUCUGCCUUGGCUGCUGCAGUCAAAGCUCCCCCUCCUGUUGCAAUCUGUCAAGAACAAACUUGUCUGUGGCAGCUGUUCGCUAAAAUUGCUAGCAUAUCCAACUCUGCAGAAAACACUCGCUCACCAUAGUAAACGCUGGUGUUCUUUGUUUUUCUUAUACUUUUUUGCUUUCUGAAUUCGUCUACAACAGUUAUAUGUGGUAGGGUUGGUCAUUUUAAAAUGAGAACACAAAAUAAAGUAAAACCAUUCAUUCAGCCUGAACUGAUAAACAGAACAUUUGAGACUGGUUUCUUAGAAUAGCAUCUGCCCAAGAGCCAACCCUCCAUUGGUGAGGAGCCAAAACUUACUGUGAGAGGGUUUUACUUUAUUC